rnacentral:pre_miRNA from 1 species
CGGGCGCCGUCGCGAGCUGGGUUCCGUGCGGCUCCAGUGGUCCUGUAGCACCAUGGGAUUCAGCUCACGGCGGCCUCCA